GUAUCAUAUACCCACAUAACCCUAAAAUAUACUUACUUCUUACGAGUAUCAAAUUAAAGCCGCCCCCUCCUUAUCUUCUUCUCUUUCUCGCUCCUUCUCUUUCUCGAUCUAAAAUCAUCAUCCCCUCUCUCCUCUUCCUCUCCUCAAAUCCCCACAUACCAUAGUCUAACUUCUCACGCCCAUAAAUCCACACACCGUAGGCAAGCUUUUCACGCCCACCAUUGAUCCACGAGCCACCAUUGAGCCACGACUGUCCACCACCGAGCCGGGAGAUGGCGAUCAGAGCGUUUUGUAAGAGUUUUCAGUCAACUGAUGUCUAAUUCUUAUUUCAAUUUCGUUUUAAUCCUUAAUUACUUUAGUUCUCUAAUUUGAGUAGUUUCUGAUUUUCAUCUUUAGAUUUUUUUUCUAAUUUUCAGUUAUACUAGAUCUUAAAUUUAUGAUUUUCAUUGUAAAAUUACUUUAGAUCUAGAUUUUAUGUUUGGUGCGAUUUGUUUUAAUUUUGUGCGCUGAUGUUGUGGUUGUGGGUGUUUGGUGCGGUUGCUCUAAUUCUGUGCCCCGAUAGUGGAAGGCUGGAACUGGAAGCAUUACUAUGAUGUUGGCAGAUAUUAGCAUGGAAAUUUGCUUGACUACAGCAGGCUUCACACAAUCGACUUAAUUUAGUUGUAUUAGAGAAAUUGUAAUGUAAAUGUCUUGUAAGAAAUUUAGUUAUUGUAAUUCAAAUACUAUUUGUUAUUUUAAUUAAUACUCGUACUACGUAUAAUAUUAUUGUGUACUC